UACGUAGGGGGCAAGCGUUGUCCGGAUUCAUUGGGCGUAAAGAGCGUGUAGGCGGCCAGGCAGGUCCGCUGUGAAAACUCGAGGCUCAACCUCGAGAUGUCGGUGGAAACCGUCUGGCUAGAGUCCGGAAGAGGAGAGUGGAAUUCCCGGUGUAGCGGUGAAAUGCGCAGAUAUCGGGAAGAACACCCGUGGCGAAGGCGGGUCUCUGGGCCGUAACUGACGCUGAGGAGCGAAAGCAUGGGGAGCGAACAGG
rnacentral:rRNA from 1 species